rnacentral:rRNA from 1 species
AGCAUAUCAAUAAGCGGAGGAAAAGAAACUAACAAGGAUUCCCUUAGUAACGGCGAGUGAAGAGGGAAGAGCUCAAAUUUUGAAUCUGGCGUCUUUGGCGUCCGAGUUGUAAUCUAGAGAAGUGUUUUCUGUGGCGGACCGUGCACAAGUCUCCUGGAAUGGAACAUCAUAGAGGGUGAGAAUCCCGUAUAUGGCAUGGACUCCCGCUGCUCUGUGAUACACUCUCGACGAGUCGAGUUGUUUGGGAAUGCAGCUCCAAUUGGGUGGUAAAUGCCAUCUAAAGCUAAAUAUUGGCGAGAGACCGAUAGUGAACAAGUACCGUGAGGGAAAGAUGAAAAGCACUUUGGAAAGAGAGUGAAACAGUACGUGAAAUUGUUGAAAGGGAAACGCUUGAAGUCAGUCGCACCCUUUAGGAUUCAGCCUCGCUUUUGCUUGGUUUACUUCCUCUUGAGUGGGUCAACAUCAGUUUCGGUCAGAGGAAAAAGGCUUGGGGAAGGUGGCAGCAUCCGUGCUGUGUUAUAGCCCCUUGUUGUAUACUUUGACUGGGACUGAGGACCGCAGCGUGCCUUUAUGGCCUGGGAUGCGUCCCAUGUACACGCUUAGGAUGUUGGCAUAAUGGCUUCAAGCGACCCGUCUUGAAACACGGACCAAGGAGUCUAACAUGUACGCGAGUAUUUGGGUGUUAAACUCAGAUGCGAAAUGAAAGUGAAAAGUUGGGAACAUUUACGUGUGCACCGACGCCCGGAGCUGACCUUCUGUGACGCAUCUGCGGUAGAGCGUAUAUGUUGGGACCCGAAAGAUGGUGAACUAUGCCUGAAUAGGGUGAAGCCAGAGGAAACUCUGGUGGAGGCUCGUAGCGAUUCUGACGUGCAAAUCGAUCGUCAAAUUUGGGUAUAGGGGCGAAAGACUAAUCGAACCAUCUAGUAGCUGGU